AUUGAACGCUGGCGGCAGGCCUAACACAUGCAAGUCGGACGGUAGCACAGAGAGCUUGCUCUUGGGUGACGAGUGGCGGACGGGUGAGUAAUGUCUGGGGAUCUGCCCGAUAGAGGGGGAUAACCACUGGAAACGGUGGCUAAUACCGCAUAACGUCGCAAGACCAAAGAGGGGGACCUUCGGGCCUCUCACUAUCGGAUGAACCCAGAUGGGAUUAGCUAGUAGGCGGGGUAAUGGCCCACCUAGGCGACGAUCCCUAGCUGGUCUGAGAGGAUGACCCGCCACACUGGAACUGAUACACGGUCCAGACUCCUACGGGAGGCAGCAGUGGGGAAUAUUGCACAAUGGGCGCAAGCCUGAUGCAGCCAUGCCGCGUGUAUGGAGAAGGCCCUCGGGUUGUAAAGUACUUUCAGCGGGGAGGAAGGCGGUGAGGUUAAUAACCUCACCGAUUGACGUUACCCGCAGAAGAAGCACCGGCUAACUCCGUGCCAGCAGCCGCGGUAA
rnacentral:rRNA from 1 species